rnacentral:rRNA from 1 species
CGAUACGAGUUUGAUCAUGGCUCAGAACGAACGCUGGCGGCAGGCCUAACACAUGCAAGUCGAGCGAACCCUUCGGGGUUAGCGGCGGACGGGUUAGUAACGCGUGGGAAUAUACCCUUUGGUACGGAAUAGCCUCGGGAAACUGAGAGUAAUACCGUAUGUGCCCUUCGGGGGAAAGAUUUAUCGCCAAAGGAUUAGCCCGCGUUGGAUUAGAUAGUUGGUGGGGUAAUGGCCUACCAAGUCUACGAUCCAUAGCUGGUUUGAGAGGAUGAUCAGCAACACUGGGACUGAGACACGGCCCAGACUCCUACGGGAGGCAGCAGUGGGGGAAUCUUAGACAAUGGGCGCAAGCCUGAUCUAGCCAUGCCGCGUGGACGAUGAAGGCCUUAGGGGUUNUAAAGCCUUUCAGAUGGGAAGAUAAUGACGGUACCAUCAGAAGAAGCCCCGGCUAACUCCGUG